rnacentral:rRNA from 1 species
AACGAACGCUGGCGGCAGGCCUAACACAUGCAAGUCGAGCGCGCCUUCGGGUGGGCGGCGGACGGGUUAGUAACGCGUGGGAACGUGCCCUUCUCUACGGAAUAGCCUCUGGAAACGGAGAGUAAUACCGUAUACGCCCUUUGGGGGAAAGAUUUAUCGGAGAAGGAUCGGCCCGCGUUAGAUUAGGUAGUUGGUGGGGUAACGGCCUACCAAGCCUACGAUCUAUAGCUGGUUUUAGAGGAUGAUCAGCAACACUGGGACUGAGACACGGCCCAGACUCCUACGGGAGGCAGCAGUGGGGAAUAUUGGUCAAUGGAGGCAACUCUGAACCAGCCAUGCCGCGUGAAGGAUGACGGCCCUAUGGGUUGUAAAGCUCUUUUACCCGGGAAGAUAAUGACUGUACCGGGAGAAUAAGCCCCGGCUAACUCCGUG